rnacentral:tRNA from 1 species
GCCUGGGUGGCUCAGUCGGUUGAGCAGCUGACUUGGGCUCAGGUCAUGAUCUCACGGUCUGUGGGUUCGAGCCCCGCAUCGGGCU